rnacentral:lncRNA from 1 species
UAUAGGUAUCCAAACAAAGCCUAUGUGCUAAUUAAUGAUCCUAGGAGUGCUAGCUCGUCAAGACAUCAUGUUUUGGCUGAUUUAAAAAGAACAUGAAGAAGAUGAAGAAUAAAGAGAUCCUCUCAUUUUCUUUUCUUUCUGGAUCUAUGCAUCAGACUCUACAAUAGAGAUCAAAAGAAGAACCCUUUCUUCUUAAUUC